GUGGGGCUGAGCUAAGGAGAGAGCGGGGGCUGGAGCUGAGCUGGGGAGCGGAGCCGGGCCAGCCAGAGGGGCAGACAAGCCGCCCAGGAGGCAGGUCAGAGCUGGGAGCAGUCACAGAAGCAGCCCACAGAGCAGACCUGUGCCGGGAGCAGAGCUGGAGCCAGGGGGGCCAGAGAAGCAGCACAGGGAGUUGGCGGCAGAGCUGCAGCCGCAGCCGAGCGGAGGCAGAGUGGAGCUGGAGCUGGAGCUGGAGCCGGGGCUGGAGCCGUCCGGAGCUGGGAGCAGCCGGGAAGAGGAGGGGGACCCUGGGCAGAGGGCCCAGCGCAGGGAGAUGCCCCCCAGCCAAGAGGCUCUGCAGGCCAGACUUGGGGGGAUCAUAACCCCGAUUGGGCAGGGGCGACGCUGGGAAGAAGGGUCCUGCCACCUAGAGCCUGAGAGCGUGUGGGAGCCGCCAGAGCACGUGUCCGACCCCCCGCAUCCCUGCCGCACGGCCAGGGACUGGGCAGGGGCCUGGGACGUGUGAGGAACUGACUGACUUUCCCUGACAUUGCAGAGACGCUGGCUGUGACGUCCCCGUGCCACAGAGCGGGGUGACAGGGCCCAUGGCACCGUAAAUGCACACAUGGCUCGAAGGGAACCCUAGGGGUCCUGGAAAGGGAGGACAUGAUAGGAGGGACUUCCAGAACCAUACAGCCAACUCAUUGGACCAAAAAGAGGGACGUGCAAUCUAAUGCUGGAGUCUAAUUGGGACAAUAUCAUGGGGGAAGGGGAGUUGGAAACCUGUCAAAAAUAUAUGCUGAGGAAAGGUACAGAGA